UUGCGCCUACGGGGCGCAGCAGUGAGGAAUAUUGGUCAAUGGACGCAAGUCUGAACCAGCCAAGUAGCGUGCAGGAUGACGGCCCUCCGGGUUGUAAACCGCUUUUAGUUGGGAAUAAAAGGGGGCUCGUGAGCCCCGUAUUGUAUGUACCAUCAGAAAAAGGACCGGCUAAUUCCGUGCCAGCAGCCGCGGUAAUACGGAAGGUCCGGGCGUUAUCCGGAUUUAUUGGGUUUAAAGGGAGCGUAGGCCGGCUAUUAAGUCAGCUGUGAAAGUCCGCGGCUCCA
rnacentral:rRNA from 1 species